UUUACGUGCGAACAACCAGAGAUUUGCAGAGUGGACGGUGCUGCGACUCCGUUGUGUAAAGUAAUAGACACUACGGGAGUUCAUGUCCUGGGAUUUUGGCGCCAGAUGUUGACCACUGUGUUCUCAACUGCAUAGCAAGUUAAUGUUAGUGUGCAUAAAGCCACACCGUGCUAGUGUACUUUGUUAAUAGAGGAAUUGUACAGGUUUUACAUUCAUUUGAACUCUGUUUGAAGGUUAAACAACGAGUGUGUGAGUUGUGCAGUCUACGGGGAAUUCCAUGUGAUUUGGUGAAACUUGUUGAAAUGUAAGUGUCCUCUACAAGUAUACAUUGUACAUUCAGGGGUUAUUUUUGUGGGUUUAUGGCUGUUAACUAUGUAUUUAUCUGGUUCUAUUUUAUGUUUUCUGUCGAUAGUCAUAGGCCACAGCCGUAUUUUUUUUCUUUUGUUGUUGUUGUUUUUCAUUUAAAUAAUUUUUUGUGUUAAAUCUGCAACAAGAUGUGAAAGCACAUGAGCUGCUCUCUAAAAGGACUCAGUAGCUUGCUCACUCUGUUAAAAUGUCCUGUUGCAAACGUGGUCAACAAUAAAAUUAAAGCUACGAGAACCUCUGA